CCCAAACUUGGGGUGUAGUUUUCUAGUGGAUUUUUCUUGGGGUGGCCAAUAGCAGCGAUGGACGUAGGCCUCGGCUCUUGCCACCCUUCCAGACUGUCCUCAAGAAAAUCUACUCUCCUUUCUGGACUAUGAGACUCAGCCUGGCUUUCUGCCCUGCUCGGAACCUCAGCUAUCUACAGACGUGGAUGGGACAGAGUCUAUAUCCAUGAGAUUGUAACAGAAGGGGACUUGAAAGGAAGAUGGCUGUAAUGUCAAAAAUCCCACCCAGAAAAGAGGUUGCCACAUGGCAGGACCUCAUCCCAUGGAAUGCUGCCACCACAGGUAAGGUGGUGGGUCUUCCCACCCCAAUUAUGCUGAUCUACUAAUUCCUCACAAACAUGCCUACAACUUGUCUCAAAGGUCACCCUGCCACACAUCCUGGCAGUCAAUAGUAACUGUUCUAGAUGAUAAAGACCUUAAAAGCCCUUGAGAGUACCCGGCUAAGGCCCACAAAGAAGAGUUGUAUU